CAGCAGCCGCGGGAAUACGGAGGGGGCUAGCGUUGUUCGGAAUUACUGGGCGUAAAGCGCACGCAGGCGGUCUGUCAAGUCGGAUGUGAAAUCCCCGGGCUCAACCUGGGAACUGCAUUCGAAACUGGCAGGCUAGAGUCUUGUAGAGGGGGGUAGAAUUCCAGGUGUAGCGGUGAAAUGCGUAGAGAUCUGGAGGAAUACCGGUGGCGAAGGCGGCCCCCUGGACAAAGACUGACGCUCAGGUGCGAAAGCGUGGGGAGCAAACAGGAUUAGAUACCCCUGUAGUCCCUGUCUCUUAUAC
rnacentral:rRNA from 1 species